rnacentral:lncRNA from 1 species
AAUCGAUGUUAUGCGAAGCAGUGUGCGGGGAGCCUACCAAGUUAACAAAACUACCAAGAGAGCACCAAGACGUAGGCGGCUGUUUCAUGACGUACAUGACAUACAUAUAUUCAUGUCAUGACCUAUCA